AUGGGUUGUCCACUGUUCGAUUGGCUUAUUGGGAGGAAUGGAAUAAACAGUAUGGAAGGAAAUUGCAAUAUACAAAUGGUAUGGGUAGAUCCGAUGCUAAUCCUGUUUGGAGCAAGAUUUGGAAGCUAUCUUGUUCGGGAAAGACAUGUGAUGGUCCCUCCCAUUUACCCAACAUGUUCAAAUGGGCUAGAAGACACGAAACACGUCUUGUUUCUGUGUCCGAAGGCAAAAGAGGUCUGGAAUAAGUUAGGUUUGUAUGAGGUGAUCAACAAAGCUUGUGUUGUUGACCGGGCGGGAGAGGCGGAAAGUCUCAAGAUGCAUGCGAUGGGGGCCCAUGCUAUAGCGGCAAAUUAUGUUAAAGCAAACUCCCCUAAGGCAAUCAAUAAGAAAAGGGGAUGGCUUAGACCUCCUAUGGGCUUGAGGAAGCUGAACGUUGAUGCUUCUUUUGGCCAUGAUCUUCUUAGAGGCACGACGGGGGCAGUCCUGAGAGAUGACAAAGGAAGGUUCAUUGUUGGCGGAAGUUGGUGA
rnacentral:rRNA from 1 species